CAUUCUAGGACCUUCCUUGGAUGAGGCUUGGAUGAGAGAUGGGAUGGACUAGAUGGCUGGAAUAGCUUAAGAGCUAGAGAGACAGGCUUCCCAAUAGAUCUGGUUUGGAGAGGGAGAGGGAAGAUGGUUAGGUCAGAGCUGGGGCCAGAAACUGAGACUCCAGACUCCCCACUUAGUGGCUGUUUUCCUUGCCCCAUCACUGCGUUCCCGCCCAUUUUGUAGAGAGGAUUAAAAAUAGAGACCCAGAAGGAGCAAGGGGAUUGGCUGAAGGAAUGUGAGUCAGUGACAGGUAGGGGCACACUCAGAUGCCCCUCAGGGCCUGGAGCCAUUGUGGGGGGCAGUCCACAUGUGCACACACACACUCAGAGGAGUGCAGAUGAGUGGAGGAUGGGCUUGGUGCUAUCUCCAGAUCAUAUAUGGACUUAGGAGCUGCUGCCCAGCAAGCCAGCUUGGAGGGAGAAGGGCCCAGCCCAGCCCUGAUCCAGUUGGAAAGUGUGACUCAGCCGUGCUGUUGCUCAAGUUGCCUGGUGUUUGGCCUGUCACUGGGGCAGCCUGAGCCCUGAGCCCUGAGCCCUGAGCCCCAGUGUAAACAAUGGCUUUAUAAGGUCUCCAGGGAAGGGAGUGGGGCGGGAGGGAGCACCAGGUUGGAGAGGGAGGUCGGGAUCCCCGGGACGAUAGCCACAGCUGGAAGAAGCUUCAGAGAGAGGCUGCCUUUGCAUCAUGGUACAGCUCGGGAAACAAGCCCAGUCUGGGAUAGGGAUGACCCUAGGGGCACGUGGCACAUCAGCAGCAGACCCAGAACCCUCUCACUCAUCCUAAAUUCUUGUAAGGUCUCAAAUGAAAUAGGGAAUAACUGUCCUGUUCUAAAGAGGGGGAAACUGAGUCAUAGAAAAGGGCCUUAUCUAGCACCCACAACUGGUUAGGGAUACAGUCUGGACUGAAACAGAGGUGUUCGGUGUUCUGCCUCCCAGGUUUCUUCUCUGAAGGAGUCCAGGUGAGCUGGGGGUAGGCCCAGCCCUACGACAGUUCUGAGUUUCUCCAUAAGGGCACAAGAUGGGAGGUGGUCUUGGGUUCUCAGGUUCUUGAGAAUAAGGAGCAAUUGUUGCCAUUAUACCUUCCCCACCACAGGAAACUCAUUCAGCAACAUUGAAUGCUUGCUAUGUGCCAGGUAUGGCAGAUAGGAGAGAGCAAACAGGGAUCAAGGCAGAAGAGGUCUUGCUCUGGGGGUUGAGGGACAGGGGAAAAGGAGCCAGAGAGCAGACUCCAGCUUCAGAGCUCUGGGAGCUGUCAGUUGCUUAAUAGGCACAACCCACUCACUCCAGAGUGGGGAAAAGGCUUUGCCAACACCCAGAACUGGGUGCCUGGGUCCCAUGCGGCCUAGCCUGCACUUACUAAGCCGUGGGGCUUGAAACAAAUGGCUCUUCUGCUCUGUGACUCAGUUUCCUUAUCUGUGAAGGGCAGCUAGCAUUCUGAAGGAUGGCCAGAAGGGUGGUUCCCCCGCCCCAAGCAUGGCGUAGAUGGUCCAUUGGUAUUGGCUGGGAUCCUCAUCUGCCUCCCCUGCUCUACCCAAGGCAGGUGAUAAGGGUUAGAGAACCCCUCUGCUGCCCACACGUUCCCUGGCCUCCAUCUCCAGCAGCAGGGUUAUCCCCACCCCCUGUCAAAGAAUAGGGGUCCCUGGGCCUCUCAACAGGAAGCACCAGAUCAGGCAGCUAGCAGACAAUCAUCGGUGGACCACAGGGUCACUAGAGUGAGACCUGUCCAUAGAUAAAGAUUGGCCAGUGAUGAAGCCCAUCUGGGUGCAAAGGCCGAGCUGAGAGGCUUCUACCAACUGGAGUGUGCCAGUGAGGGUGAGCAGAAGGCGGUCUCCAGGGAGAACAUGGGCAGGGUUUGGAGCCAGCACCUCCCCAGGGUUGGAGGAAGCAGACCCAGGACCUGCCUGACUGGGAUGGGGCUCUCUUCUGCCAUCUCCGCCUCCACCUGCCUAGCUCUGCUACUUCGCCCCGAGGGAUGCCUCCAGGCUUGGGUGGAUGAAGCCAGGGGCUUCCUGCCUUCCUGGAAGGCUUUUCCCUGUCUGGAGUUUAUGAAAGACCAGCAGGCAAUGCGGCAAUAAAAAAGACCUUGGGGUAGAGGGGCGCCACAAGAGGCGGGGCCGGCAAUGACAUCCAACCCCGUGCCCCCUCCCUGCAGGAUGCUGGUGGACUGUGUGCCCCUGGUGGAGGUGGAGGACAUGAUGAUCAUGGGCAAGAAGCCUGACCCCAAGUGUGUCUUCACCUAUGUGCAGUCGCUCUACAACCACCUGCGACGCCACGAACUGCGCCUACGCGGCAAGAAUGUCUAGCCUCCCCGCCCGCAUGGCCAGCCAGUGGCAAGCUGCCGCCCCCACUCUCCGGGCACCGUCCCCUCCCUGUGCGUCCGCCCACCGCUGCCCUGUCUGUUGCGACACCCUCCCCUCCACAUACACACGCAGCGUUUUGAUAAAUUAUUGGUUUUCAACGAUCCUGACUCCUCUCUGCGUCUCCUGGGGUUGGGGAGGGGGUUUGAACCGAAGGCAGCUCGGCAAGGUCUCCAACUCCAGCAGCCAGGCACUUGGGGAUGCGAGGUCCCGCUGGGGUCCUCAGAGGUUCUUCUUCCGACCUCCCACCCCACCCGCCCGCAGCAA
rnacentral:sRNA from 1 species